UCAUAGCUCAAUUGGAUAGAGCAUCUGACUUCGGAUCAGGGGGUUGUGGGUUCGAGUCCUACUGGG
rnacentral:tRNA from 1 species